rnacentral:lncRNA from 1 species
GGGAUCGAGGAGGCCAUCAGUGUUAGCUGUUGCAGAGUCAGUUCAGCGUCUGCCAGAGGUGAGUAGAACUAAACCUAAUCUUUAUUUUAUGAAAUCAAAUGCCUAAAGCAUGCUCAUGCAUCAUGUUUAUAUGUAAUAGGUUGAUUGCACUAGUUACACGAAUAUGAAGCAUUGCAUUAUUUACUGUUGAUGGAGAUUGGACCAAGAACGACCCCAUUAGUCCUAGAGAUGUUGUGAGACCUGGCCGGGCCAAGCAUACAUAUACAGUUGUUAUAAGACCUGGCCGGGCCAGGCAUACGAAGGUUGUGAGACCCGGCCGGGCCGGGCAUACUGAGACUGGAAGGGAUGUUUUGGGGUUGGGUCCAAUCCGUGAUAUGAUUUGUUUGUGCUAUGACGCAUUUCAUGAAAGCAUGUAAUUAAUGAACUGUUUUCUUUGUUUCUACUCACUGGGCUUUUUAGCUCACCCCUCUCCCCUAACCCCAGUUUUGCAGGUCAGAAGUAGUCCAGGAGGACGUCAAGGGUAAAUGUUAUGGUUAUUUAAUAGAUUAGUAAGCUUUUAGUGUGGACAUGUAUUAAGAUUCGAUAUUCUUUUUGUAAGAUGUUAUGUAUUGUAAGAGUUAUGUUUAUGGAUUAGAACUGUGCUUGGCCCUAAGACUUGGUUAGUCCCUUUGUAGUACAUGAUGUAUAUAAUGUUUUAAUGUUAUGGCUUUUGUUGA